rnacentral:misc_RNA from 1 species
GAUGAAGAACGUAGUGAAAUGCGAUACUUGGUGUGAAUUGCAGAAUCCCGUGAACCAUCGAGUCUUUGAACGCAAGUUGCGCCCGAAGCCAUUUGGUUGAGGGCACGUCUGACUGGGCGUCACAUAUCGUUGCCCGAUGCCUAUUGCACUGUGAUAGGAAAUUCUAGGGCGAAAGAUGGCUUCCCGUGAGCGUUGUUGCCUCGCGGUUGGUUGAAAAUUGAGUCCUUGGUAGGGUGUGCCAUGAUAGAUGGUGGUCGAGUUUGCACGAGACCGAUCAUGUGUGCGCUCCCCAAAAUAUGGACUCUUUGACCCCACACGCGUCUUUUGACGCUCAUGACGAGACCUCAGGUCAGGCGGGGCUACCCGCUGAGUUUAAGCAUAUCAAUAAGCGGAGGA